UUAUCUUCUCGGCAGCACAGCUAAGAUCCAAGUGUAGUAUCUGUUCUUAUCAGUUUUAAUAUCUGAUACGACUCUAUCCGGACAAUAUAUUAAAUAAUGGAUUUUUGGAGCCAGGAGAUGGAACAGGGGCUUGCUCCGUCCACUCCGCACAUCGACCUAGUAUUACAGUACUUCCAGGAACAGUGCACCUCCC